AUUGAACGCUGGCGGCAUGCCUUACACAUGCAAGUCGAACGGCAGCACGGGUGCUUGCACCUGGUGGCGAGUGGCGAACGGGUGAGUAAUACAUCGGAACAUGUCCUGUAGUGGGGGAUAGCCCGGCGAAAGCCGGAUUAAUACCGCAUACGAUCUACGGAGGAAAGCGGGGGACCUUCGGGCCUCGCGCUAUAGGGUUGGCCGAUGGCUGAUUAGCUAGUUGGGGGGGUAAAGGCCUACCAAGGCGACGAUCAGUAGCUGGUCUGAGAGGACGACCAGCCACACUGGGACUGAGACACGGCCCAGACUCCUACGGGAGGCAGCAGUGGGGAAUUUUGGACAAUGGGCGAAAGCCUGAUCCAGCAAUGCCGCGUGUGUGAAGAAGGCCUUCGGGUUGUAAAGCACUUUUGUCCGGAAAGAAAUCCUUGGCCCUAAUACGGUCGGGGGAUGACGGUACCGGAAGAAUAAGCACCGGCUAACUACGUG
rnacentral:rRNA from 1 species